rnacentral:lncRNA from 1 species
AAAAAUAGUUCGUAGGAUAUAUGACUAUAUUAUUUCAUAACAAACACCGGAGGAACUAUCAAAAGUUGAUUCCUCCUUCCAACUGCUUUCUUGCUUCCUUCCCCAAUUUGUCUGUCACCAUAUUUCCCUUCCUGAACAUAUGGUUUACUGGUGAAUGCCCCAAAACUGCUAGGAGAGACAUACAUUCAUAAAUCAAAGAAUCAUAUAUCAGAUGACCAUUAUUUAUGCGUUGUAUUACCCCAGUUGAGUCCAGAUCGGCCUCCAAAGGUAAUAUAUUGUUUGAUACAACCACCUUAGUCCAUGUAUGAAAGGUGUUAGCUCAAAAUUAUUGUAUUUGUGCAAUUCAGUUUUCCCAUGAAUUCUUUUACCAAUCCCCAUUAUUGUUUUCACCUCUUAUACCUCUUGAUUUUUCCUUUUGGUAGUCAGUACCAUCAAUGUUUAGCUUGUAAAACCCCUUACUAGGGGAUUUCAUUUCACUAAUAUUACAGUACUGGGUCUAGGCCCGUACCCUUCUACUACUAUAUGCAUGAAUUCUACAACCCUACUAAUGGACACCGUAUAAGGAACAUGUUCCUUCUUAUUAUUAUAGCUGUUAUUGUUCCUGGUUAGCAAAAUUUUCCAAAGACAAAAUGGAAGCAAUUGUCCCAUUUGAGCAUGUCAUUGAAAAUUUGAUGCUUCACCUCGUCAAGGGUGUGUACCCAUUGGCUUUGACUAGUUACAAGGAUUGGAAAGUUGAGGUUGUAUUGAGCCUGAUCAGAUAGUUUCCCUAGCACUGCUUAGCAUUGCCACAUCAAAUGAGGAUGUGUUCUAUGGUUUUCUCCUCCUUAUUACGGAAGAAGCAUAUGUGGUUAAGGUUCAUAGCCCUGGAGUGAAGGUGUUGAGUAGCAGGGAGCCUAUCAUGGGUUCUGGGUAGUUUUUGGGUCCAAACCCGAUUGAAGUCUCUCCUAGUAUUGUG